CCCUUAGAUGUUCUGGGCCGCACGCGCGCUACACUGACGAUGGCAACGAGUUUUUCCUUCGCCGAAAGGUGUGGGUAAUCUUUUGAAACAUCGUCGUGCUGGGGAUAGAUCAUUGCAAUUUUUGAUCUUGAACGAGGAAUGCCUAGUAGGCGCAAGUCAUCAGCUUGCGUCGAUUACGUCCCUGCCCUUUGUACACACCGCCCGUCGCUCCUACCGAUUGGGUGUGCUGGUGAAAUGUUCGGAUCGGCCGUUUGUCGCGGUUUCCGCGGCUCGUGGCUGAGAAGUUCAUUAAACCCUCCCACCUAGAGGAAGGAGAAGUCGUAACA
rnacentral:rRNA from 1 species